CCUACGGGUGGCAGCAGUGGGGGAUAUUGCACAAUGGGGGAAACCCUGAUGCAGCGACGCCGCGUGAGUGAAGAAGUAUUUCGGGAUGUAAAGCUCUAUCAGCAGGGAAGAAAAUGACAGUACCUGACCAAUAAGCCGCGUCUAACUACGUGCCAGCAGCCGUGGUACUACGUAGGGGGCCAGCGUUAUCCGGAUUUACUGGGCGUAAAGGGAGCGUAGACGGUUAUGUAAGUCUGGAGGGAAAGCCCGGGGCCCAACCCCGGGAUUGCUUUGGAAACUGGGUAACUGGAGUACAGGAGGGGCAGGCGGAAUUCGUGGUGUAGCGGUGAAAUGCGUAGAUAUCAGGAGGAACACCGGCGGCGAAGGCGGCCUGCUGGACUGAAACUGACGUUGAGGCUCGAAAGCGUGGGGAGCAAUCAGGAUGAGAUACCCUUGUAGUC
rnacentral:rRNA from 1 species